AGUGUGAGCUCAUCAUAUGUUUACUGUAGGUAUAGACGUAGAUACUCGAGCUUACUUUACAGCAGCUACUAUAAUUAUUGCAGUACCAACAGGUAUUAAAAUUUUUAGUUGACUAGGAACUCUUCACGGAACUCAAUUAGUGUAUACCCCCUCACUAUUAUGAGCAAUAGGAUUUGUAUUUUUAUUUACAGUAGGAGGAUUAACAGGAGUUGUACUAGCAAACUCAAGUAUUGACAUUAUUCUCCACGAUACUUACUAUGUAGUUGCCCAUUUCCAUUAUGUACUUUCUAUAGGAGCAGUAUUCGCCAUUUUUGCUGGAAUCGCCCAUUGAUAUCCUUUAUUCACAGGAGUAACUCUCCAUAGAACAUGAAUAAAAAUUCAUUUUACUAUUAUAUUUAUUGGAGUUAAUCUAACUUUUUUCCCUCAACACUUCCUAGGUUUAGCAGGAAUACCCCGACGAUAUUCAGAUUAUCCAGAUGCUUAUAUAACAUGAAAUGUUAUCUCAUCUAUAGGAUCUAUAAUUUCUUUCAUCGCUACAUUAGGGUUUAUCUUCAUUGUAUGAGAAUCUUUAGUAACUUGUCGUCCAGCCCUUUUUGCUACACACUUAGGAACCUCAAUUGAAUGACAACAUUCAUUCCCUCCUGCUGAACAUAGUUAUAAUGAAUUAGUAUUUAUUUCCCAAUUCUAAAGUGGCAGAGAAGUGCAGUAGAUUUAAGCUCUAAAUAUAGAAGUGAAAGUCUUCUCUUUAGAA
rnacentral:tRNA from 1 species